UGGGGAAUAUUGGGCAAUGGGGAACCCUGACCCAGCGACGCCGCGUGAGGGAAGAAGGUUUUCGGAUUGUAAACCUCUGUCCUUGGCGACGAUAAUGACGGUAGCCAAGGAGGAAGCCACGGCUAACUACGUGCCAGCAGCCGCGGUAAUACGUAGGUGGCGAGCGUUGUCCGGAAUUACUGGGUGUAAAGGGAGCGUAGGCGGGAGAGCAAGUCGACUGUGAAAGCUAUGGGCUUAACCCAUAGAUGCGAUCGAAACUGUUCAUCUUGAGUGAAGUAGAGGCAGGCGGAAUUCCUAGUGUAGCGGUGAAAUGCGUAAAUAUUAGGAGGAACACCAGUGGCGAAGGCGGCCUGCUGGGCUUUAACUGACGCUGAGGCUCGAAAGCGUGGGUAGCAAACAGGAUUAGAUACCC
rnacentral:rRNA from 1 species